rnacentral:rRNA from 1 species
GAUGAACGCUGGCGGCGUGCUUAACACAUGCAAGUCGAACGAGAAGUGAAGACGGAAACCUUCGGGCGGAAGGCUUUAUUUCGAGUGGCGGACGGGUGAGUAACGCGUGGGUAACCUGCCUCAUACAGGGGGAUAACAGUUGGAAACGACUGUUAAUACCGCAUAAUACCACCGCACCGCAUGGUGCGGGGGUAAAAACUCCGGUGGUAUGAGAUGGACCCGCGUUCGAUUAGCCAGUUGGCGGGGUAACGGCCCACCAAAGCGACGAUCGAUAGCCGAUCUGAGAGGAUGACCGGCCACAUUGGGACUGAGACACGGCCCAAACUCCGACGGGAGGCAGCAGUGGGGAAUAUUGCACAAUGGGGGAAACCCUGAUGCAGCGACGCCGCGUGAGUGAAGAAGUAUUUCGGUAUGUAAAGCUCUAUCAGCAGGGAAGAAAAUGACGGUACCUGAGUAAGAAGCCCCGGCUAACUACGUG